CAUGUCCUUUUGAUUUUAAUUUAAGGUCUAAUCUGCUCAAUGAUGUUUUAAAUAGCCGCGGUAUCUUGACCGUGCGAAGGUAGCAUAAUAAUUAGUCUUUUUAUUGGAGGCUAGAAUGAAGGAUUGGACGGGGGAUUGGCUGUCUCUUUGGAAUUUAUUUUGAAUUUAACUUUUAAGUUAAAAGGCUUAAAUAUUAUUUAAAGACGAGAAGACCCUAUAGAGUUUAACAAAUUUGUUUAUUAAGGAUUGUUUAGUAUUGGUUUACUUUUAUGAUUAGUUUGUUUAAUUGGGGUGAUUGGAGGAUUUAAUUAACUCUUCUAUUUUUUAUUACUGAUUUGUAAAUUUUAUUUCUAUAGUUUAUAAGUAUAAAUAAAAUUACCUUAGGGAUAACAGCGUUAUUUCUCUUUAGAGUUCUUAUUGGAAGAGAAGUUUGCGACCUCGAUGUUGGAUUAAAAUUUAAGUUGGGCGCAGUAGCUCAUGCUUCCGAGUCUGUUCGACUCUUACAAUUUUACAUGAUCUGAGU
rnacentral:rRNA from 1 species